rnacentral:rRNA from 1 species
UUUAUCAGAGAGUUUGAUCCUGGCUCAGGAUGAACGCUGGCGGCGUGCUUAACACAUGCAAGUCGAACGGGAAACCUUUUAUUGAAGCUUCGGCAGAUUUAAUUUGUUUCUAGUGGCGGACGGGUGAGUAACGCGUGGGUAACCUGCCCUAUACAGGGGGAUAACAACCAGAAAUGGUUGCUAAUACCGCAUAAGCGCACAGGACCGCAUGGUCCGGUGUGAAA